rnacentral:rRNA from 1 species
GCGAUCCAUGGGGCGAAGCCUGACGCAGCAACGCCGCGUGGGGGAUGAAGGCCUUCGGGUUGUAAACCCCUUUCAGUGGGAACGAAAUUGACGGUACCCACAGAAGAAGCCCCGGCCAACUACGUGCCAGCAGCCGCGGUGAUACGUAGGGGGCGAGCGUUGUCCGGAUUUAUUGGGCGUAAAGAGCUCGUAGGCGGCUUGGUAAGUCGGGUGUGAAACCUCCAGGCUCAACCUGGAGACGCCACCCGAGACUGCCCUGGCUAGAGUCCGGUAGGGGAUCACGGAAUUCCUGGUGUAGCGGUGAAAUGCGCAGAUAUCAGGAGGAACACCAGUGGCGAAGGCGGUGAUCUGGGCCGGUACUGACGCUGAGGAGCGAAAGCGUGGGGAGCGAACAGGAUUAGAUACCCUGGUAGUCCACGCCGUAAACGUUGGGCACUAGGUGUGGGGCCUUAUCGACGGGUCCCGUGCCGCAGCUAACGCAUUAAGUGCCCCGCCUGGGGAGUACGGCCGCAAGGCUAAAACUCAAAGGAAUUGACGGGG